GCUUCCGUGGCGCAAUCGGUUACAGUUGCGUUCGACUGUUAAUCGAAAGGUUGGUGGUUCAAGCCCACCCGGGAGCG